GUUCAAUCCAAUCUAUCCUCUCGAUGAUGACUCAAAAUAUUACAACAUGAAUCCCACUGUGAAUGACAGGGCCCACUGUCUUGUCUACGUUGUGCCAGCAGAUCAGCAGAGCAUUAUGAAUGAACAUGUUUUGAAGCUCAUGAAAGAAAUCAGAAAAAAAGUCUCUGACAGUGAUAUUCCCCAGGUUGUGCUGUUAACUAAGGUGGAUGAAGCUUGUCUAUUGGUAAGAAAUGAUCUCCAAAAGGUGUACAGGAGCACAUACAUCAAAGCACAGAUAGAAAGUGCCAGUAAGACAUUGGGCAUCCCUGUAAACUGCAUUUUUCCUGUGAAGAACUACAGUGGGGAAAUCAGCCUGAAUGAUGAGAUUGAUGUCCUGUCCCUGACAGCACUGCUGCAGAUACUCAGAUUUGCUAAUGGCUACUUACUAAACCUGGAUCAAAAGCAACAUAACUGAGAGUUGCAAAGUACUAUAUUCAAUUACUAAAUACAAUAAGUAAAAACUAAAAGAAGUGUAUGAGACACAUCUGAAGUGUUUAAUUAACUCAAUUUAGUUUCUUGUUAUUCUAAUAUUUUCAUGUGUUGAUCAGUAAAUUGACAAUGUAACCUACAAAUGUCUCAGCAUUAGAAUACAAAUAAAGAAAAUGAGAAUGAAAAACAUCUGUUGCUAUUUAGACAUAAAUAUGAUAUAAAUUUAUUAGGUUCUGCUUUCCCGCAAGGUAUAAAUUAGCCGUUUUUAAACCCUGCAACUCAAAACAAAAAGAAAAUAUGAACCUGGUCAGUACCUUGAUGGGAGAGCUCCUGAGAAAGCUAAGGGUGCUGCUGGAACCUCAUGGUGUUAGUGUUGAUGGGACCAGUAGGGAGUGCUCACCCACUGGUCCUAAUGCCCCAGUAUAGUGACAUUUUCUAAAAGAGUAGGGGUGUCAACCCUGGUGUCCUGGCCAAACCUCUCAGCAUCUCAUAGUACCUGUAAAGCUCUAAAAAUAUUCACAGGGACACUGCAAAUCACAGUUGCACUAUUCUAUUAAAGAAAUCACCCUUUAGGGCACCCAUGCAAUUCAUAAUGCAAAUGUAAUGAUUAACACAGAAAAA